rnacentral:rRNA from 1 species
CUACAGCUUAACUGUAGAAUUGCCAUUGAAACUGAAUUUCUUGAAUCUAAUUGAAGUAGGCGGAAUAUGACAUGUAGCGGUGAAAUGCUUAGAUAUGUCAUAGAACACCGAUAGCGAAGGCAGCUUACUAAGUUAGUAUUGACGCUAAUGCACGAAAGCGUGGGGAGCGAACAGGAUUAGAUACCCUGGUAGUCCACGCCGUAAACGAUGAUUACUCGCUAUUGGCGAUAUACUGUCAGUGGCUAAGCGAAAGUGAUAAGUAAUCCACCUGGGGAGUACGAUCGCAAGGUUGAAACUCAAAGGAAUUGACGGGGGCCCGCACAAGCGGUGGAGCAUGUGGUUUAAUUCGAUGAUACGCGAGGAACCUUACCAGGUCUUAAAUGCAUAACGAACAGUUGGGAAACCAACCUUUCUUCGGACGGAAUGCAAGGUGCUGCAUGGUUGUCGUCAGCUCGUGCCGUGAGGUGUCAGGUUAAGUCCUAUAACGAGCGCAACCCCUAUUCUUAGUUGCCAGCGGUUCGGCCGGGGACUCUAAGAAAACUGCCAGUGCAAGCUGUGAGGAAGGUGGGGAUGACGUCAAAUCAUCACGGCCCUUACGACCUGGGCCACACACGUGCUACAAUGGUAGGUACAAAGGGCAGCCACUUGGCGACAAGGAGCUAAUCUCUAAAACCUAUCUCAGUUCGGAUUGGAGUCUGAAACUCGACUCUAUGAAGCUGGAAUCGCUAGUAAUCGCGCAUCAGCCAUGGCGCGGUGAAUACGUUCCCGGGCCUUGUACACACCGCCCGUCAAGCCAUGGAAGCUGGGAGUACCUGAAGUCGGUAACCAUAUAGGAGCUGCCUAGGGUAAAACUAGUAACUGGGGCUAAGUCGUAACAAGGUAACCGUA